rnacentral:rRNA from 1 species
UACGUAUGGGGCGAGCGUUGUCCGGAAUUACUGGGUGUAAAGAGCUCGUAGGUGGUUUGUCACGUCGUCUGUGAAAUUCCGGGGCUUAACCUCGGGCGUGCAGGCGAUACGGGCAAUACUUGAGUGCUGUAGGGGAGACUGGAAUUCCUGGUGUAGCGGUGAAAUGCGCAGAUAUCAGGAGGAACACCAAUGGCGAAGGCAGGUCUCUGGGCAGUUACUGACGCUGAGGAGCGAAAGCAUGGGUAGCGAACAGGAUUA